UUAUGUUGAAAUAAAAUGAUGAUUUCAUAGUUCAGCUGACAUCAAUGAUGUACUUACAGCUUAUGUCUUUCGCUCCUAUCUGACAAGAUAA